rnacentral:rRNA from 1 species
CCUACGGGUGGCAGCAGUGGGGAAUAUUGGACAAUGGGGGGAACCCUGAUCCAGCCAUGCCGCGUGUGUGAAGAAGGCCCUCGGGUUGUAAAGCACUUUCAGUGAGGAAGAACGCCUGGUGGUUAAUACCCAUCAGGAAAGACAUCACUCACAGAAGAAGCACCGGCUAACUCCGUGCCAGCAGCCGCGGUAAUACGGAGGGUGCGAGCGUUAAUCGGAAUUACUGGGCGUAAAGCGCGCGUAGGUGGCUUGAUAAGCCGGUUGUGAAAGCCCCGGGCUCAACCUGGGAACGGCAUCCGGAACUGUCAAGCUAGAGUGCAGGAGAGGAAGGUAGAAUUCCCGGUGUAGCGGUGAAAUGCGUAGAGAUCGGGAGGAAUACCAGUGGCGAAGACGGCCUUCUGGACUGACACUGACACUGAGGUGCGAAAGCGUGGGUAGCAAACAGGAUUAGAUACCCUAGUAGUC